UAAACAAGUGUAGGUUGUGCUGGCCUUYUCGGUAUGUGCACGCCUGCUAAAGUUUCAUUCUAUCUUCCCACCCGUGCACUUUGUGUAGAUUCUGUAUACUAUUGUCAGGCUCUUUGACUGGGCUUGGUUGAGAGGAGUUGCUUGUUCUAUUGGACAGGCUCUUCUUGGGUAUGCAGGUCUAUGUUUUAUAUUAACACCAUAUGAAUGUAAUAGAAUGUGCUUUGGGCUUUUUUAGCCUUUAAAACAUAUACAACUUUCAACAACGGAUCUCUUGGCUCUCGCAUCGAUGAAGAACGCAGCGAAAUGCGAUAAGUAAUGUGAAUUGCAAAAUUCAGUGAAUCAUCGAAUCUUUGAACGCACCUUGCGCUCCUUGGUAUUCCGAGGAGCAUGCCUGUUUGAGUGUCAUUAAAUUCUCAAUUCCCACAAUCUUGUGUUGUUGGGUGAUUGGAUUAUGGGGGCUUGCUGGCCUUGUUCAGCUCUCCUUAAAAGCAUUAGCAGGAUAUAAUGCCAUCUGUGCUUUGUAUGAUACAUAUCUAUACAUUGUACUUAUUGUGCACAACUGCUUCUAACUGUCAUCUUUNACAUUUGACCAAUUUGACCUCAAAUCAGGUAGGACUACCCGCUGAACUUAAGCAUA
rnacentral:rRNA from 1 species